rnacentral:lncRNA from 1 species
GACAAUACAAUACAAAAGACUUGUUCAAUUUAAAUGAGCCCAAGUAAAUUAAAUGAAUAGAGCCCAUCAGAUAGAAGAAAUCAGCCCAAUCAGAUGAUAAAAAAAAAAACAGCCCAAUAAACUAAAUAAAAGUGAGCCCAAAAUAAUAGUUAACAAUUAAAGAAAAUUUGAACUAAAAGAAAACAAAGCUUCUUUUCUCUCUCCUCACACCCACUCUCGGCUCCCCCUCUCCUUC